rnacentral:tRNA from 1 species
GGCCGGACAGCUCAGUCGGUUAGAGCGUGGUGCUAAUAACGCUAAGGUCGCUGGGUUCGACCCCCACUCUGGACA